UUCAUGCCGGGCUUAUCACCAUAGCUACUACAUCAUACUCCUCCGAUUGAAAUUCUUCUAAAUUACAUUGUGUCCCCACCAGCCAGAGAGCGAUUUAUCAGAUUUUACUGUUCUAGAGGGAACGAACGUGUCCUGUAAUUGUCCUUGGAAGGGAAAAUGAUGGCUGUACUGACGUAGCAUAAAAACAAAGGCUCUGAGGCUGUGGGGCCCCAUGUACAGCCCCCUGAAGCUAAUGGACAACCAAGGACCUUAAUGGGCUCUGGACCAGGCUCAGAGCUGCCUAAUGGAAAUUAGAUUCUUUGCUGCAACCUCAUGUAAUUGCCGCUGAACUUGGGACGAGGCUUUCCACUCCUCUCCACGCAGCUGACUCAAGCCCUGAAACAGUGGGGAAUCUCAAUUUUUUCCCCUGAUUGUUUGAGGAAAGAUGCUGCUUUGGUUUUUGGACACCAUAUUCAAUGCAAGGUCUGUUUCAGCUCCCCCGCCCCCUGGCGCGGAUCGGGAAGUCAUUACCUUCUCGGGUUUCUGCUGGCCAUGGUAUCUGUUUGCACGCUUUGAUUGCUGAUACCCUGUGUGGGAUGAGCCAGUGCUUUAAGUAUCUCUCUCCAGUAAAGUGCACUGCAAGGAAGCGCAGUGAUAUAUCGCAAUGUAACACACUGCCUAGGGUGCAGCAUCAUGGGCACUGUUUAUCUGUAAGUCAUGCUGUUUGCUUUUUGGGAUAUUAGGACUGCCCAGAUAUAGGUCUUUUAGCUUCCCUACUGUACCUAACUAUUGUCCCUGAGAAGGUGUUAAAGUGACUGUCCAAGAUCACAACCAGAGUCAGGAACAGAACAUGCCUGACAUGUCCACACAGCCAAAUGAUGGAGUGGUUACGGCACAUGCCAGCACACCCCUGCCAGCACAGGGAACAAGAUCAGCGAACAUCCCACGGCCCUUGUCUUACCAGCAUAUGCACUCUCCAGGGACUAUGGGUACCUACUGUUGCAGCUUCACUUUGCUGCAAAACCUGUUUCCCCUUGUUUCUGCAGAGAUAAUGGAGCCUCUCCCAUCACUGCAGUAUGGCUCUAGCCAAGCAGCAGGGAUGGCCUUUCCACAAUGGACCUGUAGCCUGGGUUAGAAAAGGAAAGAGGAAGAUUGCUCAGCACAACAGAAGCAAAUGCACCCAACAGCACAAUCCAAGUAAUACUGUGUGCAUGGGUGUAAGACUACAGACAUUUGCAUAUGAGUUUGCCUAAGGCCAAGCGAAUUGUUUUAGUGGAAAUCCAAGCCCACACUGAUCCUGUCACGUUUGGCUAUGCAGGACAGAGAAAGAUCGGAUCAGCAAGGCCCUUUGGAGAUGCCUUGCAUUCUGAUGCCGUGAGCCUGAGACACAUGGAUGCGCUAUCGUAUCAGGUACCACAGAAAUGUGAGGAAUUAUUACAGAAGAGUUCUUCCAGCUGCAUCAAAUCUGUCUGCACGUGUGUGAAAAUGCUCCCCAAAGGCCCAUCAAGAGGAAUCUGAGAUUGGCUGAGUCCAGAGUUCAUCUGGCUCUGUUCAAAAUACUUCUUAAUAGGAGAAUGUGCCGUUACAUUAUCGGGCAGCUUUUGUUUAUUUUAUUUUUUCAUCGCAGCCUUGGUGCCUUGGCUCGCUCUAGACAAUAAAACUUAAGCUUCUAUCAACUGCUAUUAUAGGUUGUUUGUUUGUUUUUUUUUUAAUCCACAACAACAGUGUGAUUAUAUCCAGGCUUCCUACAUUAAGACAGACGUUGACCUAACUGUGGCAGUGCUACCACUUAAUUCCUAAUAAAAAAGAUCUCUUUCUUCGAUAGCUCACACCGAGUGAAAUUCUUCCCCGAGGAGAGGACACACACUAGAACCUAGGCAUCAAUCGAGUCCCAUUUUGGAGACUAAAUAUGACACAGGUCUUGUUGCACGAGGAUAUGUUCUACCUUGCAAGCUCAUAAAUGAUGUUGAACUGAGAGCCCUGGAUAGCAAAGACCUUGACUUAUGAACACCUUGGGCACUGGCAGUCCCUGUGUUUCCCCUUGAAUUUCUCCUACUUCCACUUAAGCUCUGACUCAGAAGAAGCAUACUUGAGAGCUGACAUGAGAUGUGGGAGAAAGUGGUAGACAUGAGUACAGAAAUUUGAUGCAGCUGUUAGUGUAAAUGUAGUGCAGGUCUCAGGCUUUCUGAUGGACCUACAUAGGCUGGUGAGCAAGACUGUCCUAGGUGACCCCAAUCGAGACACAUACUUACUACGGCCAACAACCUAUUCUUGGUAGCUCGUGGUGAGUCUCAGGCACUGCUGAGAUGAUCUGGAUUUCAGCUGUUAUCCCAACAUUAGAAGACAUGAUGUUUUCUCUCUGAUAUCCAAAGUCACUCAAUCCCACC